UACGAAGGGGGCUAGCGUUGUUCGGAAUUACUGGGCGUAAAGCGCGCGCAGGCGGUCCUUUAAGUCAGGGGUGAAAGCCCAGAGCUCAACUCUGGAACUGCCUUUGAAACUAGAGGACUUGGGUACGGGAGAGGUGAGUGGAAUUCCGAGUGUAGAGGUGAAAUGCGUAGAUAUCAAGAGGAACACCAGUGGCGAAGGCGAGUCCCUGGACAACACCUGACACUGAGGCACGAAAGCUAGGGGAGCAAACAGG
rnacentral:rRNA from 1 species